AUGAAUCAUGGCAUCAUAGUUUGAACUUUCCCUUCCCUCCCAUACCAGAAGACAACAGAAUCCCUAAUCAAACACUCAACCAUUCCACCUCUCUUCUCCAACUGUCUGUGUCUGUUCCUCCCACAGUUCUCAAGUUCGGAACUUUCACGCGAAAUCGGGGACUUUGAAUUAUCGCGCAUCGCCGACUCUGGACGCCGCCCAGUUCGCCGUGGAGGACGGCCAGUACGACGUGUCGUCUAAAGCGAGCGGCGACGAGGGCCUCGAGAUUUCGAGGAUAGGGAUUGAUAAGGAGAUAGUGUCUGCUUUGGCCAAGAAGGGGAUCACUAAGCUUUUCCCCAUUCAGAGAGCUGUGUUGGAGCCAAAAGGGGAUGGAAUAUGACGGAGAUAGAAGAUUUGAAUAUGACGGAGGUUCACAAAAACAUUGAACAAGAUGUAGUGGAACAAAUCCUGUCAACUCUGCCUCCCAAAUCUCUUAUGCGGUUCAAGUACGUUUCUAAAAGGUGGCGUGCUCUGAUCACCGAUCCCAGGUUUGUGGCUAAUGAAGAUAGGGCUCCGGUGACACCUCACGGGCGAGGAUUUACGAGUAAACUUCUAUCAUUCAAAUCGAUACUCGGUUCGAAAUAAGCAGAGCAACCAAAGGAAAAUAAACAGGGCGAAACUCUGAAGAGCUUCGAAAGUAAAAGGUGCUAAGGCAAGAUGCGUUAGCGUCGGGUUCAACUAGCUCGAAGGUUUGUAGUUGUGUUUGUAUUGAGAGAUUGUGUGUAAGACCAGAUCCUCGAACUCCUUUAUAUAGUGGUGAAUUCGUUAGUUGUUAGAUCUUCGCUGCAUAGUCGGUUGAGUUGCACAAAGUUUUGUUAGUUUCAAUCACGUAUGUAGGUUUAUUUUAAGACCACAUAUACUAGCCCAAAACAAGGUAAAGACUCGUAAAAGUCUUCAAAUUGUAAAAUAUCGUAGGCAAAAAUACUAGUUGUCUUAGCGAUAUAAUUAUAGAGAUGUACUGGACGUAGACAAUUCUUA